rnacentral:rRNA from 1 species
UACGGGGGGGGCAAGCGUUGUUCGGAAUUACUGGGCGUAGAGGGCUCGUAGGCGGCCAACUAAGUCGGAUGUGAAAUCCCCAGGCUCAACCUGGGAACUGCAUCCGAUACUGGAUGGCUUGAAUUCGGGAGAGGGAUGCAGAAUUCCAGGUGUAGCGGUGAAAUGCGUAGAUAUCUGGAGGAAUACCGGUGGCGAAGGCGGCAUCCUGGACCGACAUUGACGCUGAUGAGCGAAAGCUAGGGGAGCAAACGGG